rnacentral:rRNA from 1 species
AUUGAACGCUGGCGGCAGGCUUAACACAUGCAAGUCGAACGAGUGGCGGACGGGUGAGUAAUGUCUGGGAAAUUGCCUGAUGGAGGGGGAUAACUACUGGAAACGGUAGCUAAUACCGCAUACCAUCGGAUGUGCCUAGAUGGGAUUAGCUAGUGGGUGGGGUAAAGGCUCACCUAGGCGACGAUCCCUAGCUGGUCUGAGAGGAUGACCAGCCACACUGGAACUGAGACACGGUCCAGACUCCUACGGGAGGCAGCAGUGGGGAAUAUUGCACAAUGGGCGCAAGCCUGAUGCAGCCAUGCCGCGUGUAUGAAGAAGGCCUUCGGGUUGUAAAGUACUUUCAGCGGGGAGGCGUUACCCGCAGAAGAAGCACCGGCUAACUCCGUGCCAGCAGCCGCGGUAAUGC